CAAAGAAUAGUUUAAUUAAGAAUUCUGGCUUUGGGAGCCAGGGGUGGGAGUUAGUUCUCCUUUCUUUG
rnacentral:tRNA from 1 species